rnacentral:tRNA from 1 species
GAGGGUACAGCUCAGUGGUAGAGCAUGGGCUUAGCAUGCACAAGGACCUGGGUUCAAUCCCCGGUAGCUCCA